rnacentral:lncRNA from 1 species
CAACAUUAUAAACAUCAAAAUCAAAUGAGUACAAUUUUUCAAGAUUUUCUUUAGAAAAGAGAUGCAGAUAUAGAUGGCAGCAAACACCGCAACAUUAUAAACAUCCAAAUCAAACGUGAUUUAGCAAGUCAAAGAAUUCGUGGCAUUCACCAAGUACUGAAACAAAAUCUAAUAAUAUCAAAAUCGAAAUGAACAGAGUGUUUUGUCUGUCAUGGCGUCCAAAUCAGAAGAUAGCCCAACAACAAAAGAGUGUUUUACAUGAGCUGGUCAAUCCGAGAAAGAAUAUAUACACUUCCCAUGUUCCCAAAGCAACAAAAGAAAUCUCAAGUUACAGCACCAGAAAUACAGCCAAACAUUGCAACCAAAUCCCCACACGCACCGAGACAAAGAGAGAGGGAGGUAUCGAUCCAGUCCAGAGCUCAGAUAAGAUCGGCGACGUUCAUGGGCAUCUCGUCGAUCUGCGUGCUAUAGUACUGCUCGAUGUUCCGAAGGAUACGGAUGUCGUCCUUGCGCACAAAGUUGAUCGCCACACCCUGCCGUCACGGCACACAAAAAAAAUUCAUGCAAAUCAAGAGUAGGCAGCAUUUUGGAUGCAAAGAACAAACAUUUAGUUGGGAUUAGUCAAUCCUUGCAUAUUCACUUUCCACAAGAGUUUUAAAACCAAAAAAGUGUUGAAUCACCAAAAUUACUUCAAUUGUUUUCUUUACUGAGACAGCAUCAUAUUUUUAAUUGUUUUUAGCAACACAGAAACUAUAACCAAAAUUCUCUAGCCUAAACUAACAACUGGUAGGUACAAGAGAGGCAGCCACAAAAGAGGAAUGACUAAGCUAUGAAGCAGGAGUGUGAACUUUACCUUGCGCCCAAAACGCCCAGAGCGACCAAUACGAUGGAUGUAAAGCUCACGGUGGUUGUUCGCGAGAUCGUAAUUAAUGUCAAGAGAGACCUGAAACAAAUCCAAACAGACUCAAGUGAGUAAUCAAAGAUGAGCAUCAUCAUGCAACGGCGUGCUUAAAGGUAACCAAGAAGUGAAAGCAAACAAGACUUGUCUGCUGGACAUCCAGCCCUCGAGCCCAAACAUCGGUUGUGAUCAGAACACGGGUCGUGCCACCCUAAACUCACUCAUGAUCGCAUCCCUUUCCUUCUGAGGCAUGUCACCGUGCAUAGCUGACACCGUGAAGUUGUUGGUGCGCAUCCUUUCAGUAAGCCAAUC